ensembl:lncRNA
CGGGCGGGCACGGAACCGAGCUGGAGCGCGGGCCGAGCUGCACCGAGCCCGGCUCCGUGGCGGCGGGGAGCCCAGGAGCCGCGGGUCUUCUCGGACGGGGUGAGAAGGGAGGAAAACUUGGUUAGCGAGUUCUGGACCCGUUCGCUGGCGGGGAACUGGGGCCCCGUGGCUGCUGUGGGGCUGCGAGGUGCCGGAGCCGGAGCCCUGGGGCGAUGCUCCGUGUUCCCACUGCUGGGCAGGGACCAGCGCCUGGUGCUGUGCUCGUGCAGCAUCGCUGCGCCUGGAUGGAGCGGGGGGGGGGGCUCCUCGUGGCCAUGGGGCUCUUCGCGGGUCUGGGGCCUCCUCAUGGGUCUGGGGCCUCCUCGUGGCCAUGGGGCUCCUCAUGGCCAUGGGGCUCCUCGUGGGCCAUGGGGGCUCCUCGUGGGCCAUGGGGCUCCUCAUGGGUCUGGGGGCUCCUCGAGGCACAGGGCCCCCUCGUGGCCAUGGGGCUCCUCGUGGCCAUGGGGCUCCUCAUGGGUCUGGAGGCUCCUCGUGGCCAUGGGGCUCCUCGUGGGCCAUGGGGCUCCUCGUGGCCAUGGGGCUCCUCGUGGCCAUGGGGCUCCUCGUGGGUCUGGGGGCUCCUCAUGGGUCUGGGGGCUCCUCGAGGCACAGGGCCCCCCCAUGUCAGCACCCAGGGCCCUGUGUCCUGGAGGAAGCAGUCAGAGCGUGGCUGGUGCUGCCGGCUCCUGUUGCUCAUCUUCCCCCGUUGAAGCUCGGCCGCGUGCUCGGCGCUGGCUGUGUGUCUGUCUCGUUCCUGGACAGACUCGCUCCUCCGGUACAAUGUCAAAUUUUUUUUUUUUUUUUUUUCGGCCGCGCUCGCUUGUUCCAGCUUUUAAAAUAGGUGUGUUGGUUUUUUUUUUUUCUUUCUUUUUUCUUUUCCCUAACACGACGUGCGUACGCGUGGGUGCUGCAUCGAACGCCGAUGGAAAAAACGGGGCCGCUGCUUUGUUUGUGUGCGGAUGGCAAACCUGUAUUUCAGCACGGAGCAGCGAAACCGCCCCGAGCGCCGAGCGGAGCCCGCGGCCGCCGGCCCCGACCGCGCCGGUUUCAGCCUCCGUGCCCGCACCGCCCCGCUCCCCCCUUCCCUGCACCCGCAGCCUUCGUCCCCUCCUCCUCCUCCUCCUCCUCCUGCAGCCCUGGGGCUGCUCUGACCCCGCUGUUGCAGGCGGGCGCGGAGCUGCUCACCUACGGAGCUGCUGCGCUGGGAGGUGAUGGCAGCCUGCGUGCAGCCCGAGGCGGGACGUGUUUCAGAGCUCCUUCGUUCCCCCCCGGGGGAUUUUGCCACCGUUCAGGUUUUUUGAUGAUGAUGAUGAUGAUGAUGAUGAUGAUUUUUGAAGCUGCGGAGCUGCCUGAGCGCACAGUGCUGCUGCUGCUCCCCCGGCAGCGCCUUCAGCGGGGGCUGAGAUCCAGAGAGGGGGAACCAGCUCCCAUCCCCAGCUCCCAUCCCCAGAUCUCAGCUCCCAUCCCCAGUUUCUCAAUCCCUGCUCCCUGGUCCCAGCUCCUGAUCCCAGCUCCCAGCUCCCUCAUCGCAGCUCCCAUCCCCAGCUUCCCAAUCCCAGCUCCUCAUCCCAGCUCUCAGCUCCCUGAUUGCAGCUUUCCAAUCCCAGCUNNNNNNNNNNNNNNNNNNNUUCCAGCUCCCGUUCCCAGCUUCUCAAUCCCAGCUCCCUGCUCUCAUCUCCCCAUCCUUGCUCCUGUUCCCAGCUUCCUGAUCCUACCUCUCAGUUCCCCAUUCCCAGCUCCCAAUCCCAGCUCUCAGCUCCCUGACUCCAGCUCCCAUUCCCAGCUCCUCAAUCCCAGCUCCCGCUCCCAUCUCCCCCACCCCGUGAUGACUCGGGGAACCUGAAUCCCCGCCGCGUUCUCGGGCGCUGUUUGAUUUCCCGUGGUGCGAGGCUCGGCAGCGGGCACGGCUGCGGGUGGCGGUGGCUGCCAUCCCUCCGUGCACGACGGUUUGAUGGCAUGAUGUGCGUGGUGGGUGGAGGAGGGCGCUGGGGGCUCCUGGUGCCGUUUCUCGUGGUCAGGGCGAGAGCUGCAUUCAUCCAAAAGCAUCGGGAGUUUUGUUUCGUGGCCCUGAGGUUGGUUCCUCGGCGCGGCGCUGAACCCCCGGGACGGCUGCGCUCUGCGUGGGGGAUUACGGGGAUUUGCGGCUGGGCCGGAACAACGCUUUCCUGGCAGAAGUUUGGCUCCGUGGGGCUUUAUCUCGUGGCUCUGAGCUGUGCAGGGCUCACCCUGGGAGGGAGAGUGUGGGAAGGGAGGAGCCCGAGGGGCCUGGGCCUCGUCCUCCUGCCCAGAGCGUGUGGGCAUCCCUCAGUGCAAGUGGGGUCAGGGAAUUGGAGAGCC